GAAGAGAUGACCCUCUUCACGGGCACCCUGCCCGUCCUGUUGGCACAACCGGGAGGCUGCAGAAGUCCGACACGGAGCUGUACCCAGUCCAGUGCCAGCGGCAUCUUGGGGAGCCACGACAGUAAUCCUAAGGAUCCAGGUCAGGCCAUGGUGUCAUUUUGGGGUCAAGGGACAAGACUGAAGCCACCCACCCCCUGAAACAGUCUGGAUCUGUUGCUCAACCUGCAGGGUGGCAUUUUUUCCAUACGACUGAGAAAAUGAUUGGGUGGACUCUGACAAACCCUGAACAAACAAUUACAAUAAUAUUAUUUAGUAGAACUACAGUACCUGGUUUGAUGUAUUCAUUGAGAUUUGCAGAGAUCACAAAAAAUGCUUCAUAUCUGUAGAAGUGCAGUGGCCAAUUAAAAAAUUUACCUUUGACAAGAAAAUUAUCAAAGUAAUUGAAGUGGUUUCUCAGAGCUUUAAAGAAAAAGGAAAGAUAAUCACAUAAUAAGAAACACUAUUGUUUCUUCUGUCACACUGUCUUCAUACUAUCAGCAAUUAUUUGAUGUUCUAAUCUUGUAAGCCUUAUGAAUAUAAGCAGUCAUGAGUAGCAUGAGCAAAGUUUGCUGAAACAAAUGAGCCUGGAAAGGUCAGAUCCCUGCCUUGAAUAAAUAGGUACAAAUUACAGAAUUACUGUUUAAUCUCCUAGGUGUGGCGUGCAGCAUAGAAGUACAGCAACUCUUUUGCUGGGUUUUUACUAAUUUUUAAAUAAAAUGUCCUUCUUGCUGUUUCCCAA